CCUGGAUUUCCUUUAAAGAUAUAAGAAAUACUGGGGAGGGGACAAGAUGGACAACUAGAAAUAGCUGCAAUCAGAGGCUUCCAACAAGAAGAACGAAAACGAAUGAAGCCCUUUCUUAAAAGCCUAGUUGACUAGGGAUAUCAAGUGGACACAGCUGACAGAACUUUGUACUAGAAAGGAGGGAGGAUACAGAAUGUCUCUUCAGUGAAAAUGACUAUUUUGACAACUUGGAAGAUAAGGAGCUAGGCUAAGUCUUAUUCUAGUCUAUCCUGUCUGUCACCAGGAAGAUUUCCUACCUUCCCAAAGGUUAG
rnacentral:lncRNA from 1 species